CGUAGGUGGCGAGCGUUGUCCGGAAUGACUGGGGCGUAAAGGGCGUGUAGGCGGUCCUGUAAGUCUGGGGUGAAACCGACGGCUCAACCGCCGGCCUGCCCUCGGAAACUAGCGGGGGCGUAGAGUGGGGCUAGAGGGCAGCGGAAUUCCCGGUGUAGCGGUGAAAUAGCGUAGAGAUCGGGAGGAACACCAGGUGGCGAAGGCGGCUGCCUGGGGCCUAACUGACGCUGAGGCGCGAAAGCUAGGGGAGCAAACAGGAUU
rnacentral:rRNA from 1 species